GAUUAAAAAAGAAGAGAUCAGAAGGGCCUGCUUUAUUCCUGCUGCCCAAAAAUACAAAGUGCUCGUGCCUCAGCAGAAGUGGACUUUCAAACCAAUUUUACGCCUGGGAGAGACAUACACCAUGGCCAGAAAAUGGAAAAAGACAAGACACUGUGUUUUUGAGCCUAACUUUCCCAAUUGGAUCCAUCUGCCUCUGUCUCGUGUCAGCCUGCGUCCAUUUCACACAAACUCGUAUGAGCGCUUGGUGAGGCUCCCUACCCGAACCUACUUCAUCCCUCAGCAGUCUACAGCGGAGUACUACAGGCGAAAAUUCAAAAACAGGCCUGUAAUAACCUCACCAGCACCAUCCCACCACCCCGCUGCUCCACCACCAACUCCUGAUCUAAAUCUGAACUUAUUCAACAAUUAAUACAAAGUAAUAGUUGCUAUACGUUCAAGUAAUUUUACACUUUUAGAAUGAAAGUAUGAAGUCAUCUUUCAAGGUUGGGAGUGUUUACUCUCCUGCAGCAUUUUGCUGACCUGAUUAAUGGACUUCACUUUUUACUUGAUUAAAUAAAGGUUAAUAAAAAAUAAUAAAAUAUUGUCCAACAGUGAUAUUAUUUUAGCCAGAG